rnacentral:tRNA from 1 species
CGCUAGCAUGAGGUGCUAGUGCCUUAGGUGUGAGGGUUCGAGUCCCUCUCUCGGCACCA